CCUACGGGAGGCAGCAGUGGGGAAUAUUGGGCAAUGGAGGCAACUCUGACCCAGCAACGCCGCGUGAAUGAUGAAGGUCUUCGGAUUGUAAAGUUCUUUUCUACGGGAAGAAGAAAGUGACGGUACCUUAGGAAUAAGCCUCGGCUAACUACGUGCCAGACGCCGCGGUAAUACGUAGGAGGCAAGCGUUCUCCGGAAUGACUGGGCGUACAGAGUGAGUAGGUGGUUUGACAAGUUAGUAGCGCAACUGCGGAGCUCAACUUCGGAACUACUACUAAAACUGUUGGACUUGAGUGCAGGAGGGGCAAUCGGAAGUCGUGGUGUAGCGGUGGAAUGCGUAGAUAUUAGGAGGAAAACCAGUGGCGAAGGCGGAUUGCUAGACUGUAACUGACACUGAGGCACGAAAGCGUGGGGAGCAAACAGGAUUAGAUACCCGUGUAGUC
rnacentral:rRNA from 1 species